AAGUGUGGGAAUACGUCUCCCAUUGGCUAAAUUACUGUCUGCAGGAGUGUUAGCGCAAAUAUUUAGACGGAGAUCCAAUUACUACAAUGUGAUAUAGACAAAUAUAUUAUGAGUAGAACAUUUGAUGCUGAAUUCCUUUCGUUAAUAAAUAUACUGUUGUUAUUUUCAGCAACAAGUACGCAAACAGACGUCGAUGGCUGGUAGGCGUGGUGGUGUCUGCCAAUUUUGACGCGAAAGGCAUGUUUUUGUGCGAAUACUCGACUGGAGAAGUUUGCUUUUUACUCUCUCGAUGGCAGUCACGAACAUUAGUUAGUUACCGGAAAUUGAAAGUUAAAUGUUUACUAAACUUGCAUCUAAAAUGGGUAUAACCUCAUUUAUCUCACGAGUUUCACAGUGAGUCUGUAAAACGAUCAUAUUAGCUUGCUAGUAUACUUGAGACAGGAUCAUAUUUCAAUCAACAUGUACCAUUGACUUUAAGUAGCUAACUAACCUGCUUGCCAACAGUUGUUAUUAUUCAGCUGCUUGAUAAACUUCUUGAUAUAGUUUCCUAAACUCUGCAUCUACAUUACAGCCAAGCAGAUGAGUACGUGCGGUUAUCCUGGUUAAAUGUACAGGACUCGGAAUUACGACGGGUACGAGUAAAGCAGUAAUUUGCCUAGAACUGGUAGCAACAUCAAUGAAGUUACCUCUGGACAAAGAAUAUGACUUCAAAUGAUCCGGGUUGAACAAGAAGCAGUAUCAAAGCAAUCUGAAGGCCUGAGAUUGAAUGCAUGCUUACCUAGAAGUCGGAGACCUUACUGUUCAGUUUGGGUGCAUGGAUGCAAUCGAAGUAGCCACCCAAGUCUCGGUGAGAACUUGGAGAGUAGCCUACUCUGGCCAACACACAACUCAUCUUCAAAUAUUUUGUCUACUACUAUUUUCAGCAAGUCUUCUCUCCUGAACAAGGUAUGAAGCAAGCCUUCCUGCUGCUCCGUAAAAAAAGAUGUGGACCUGUCAAAACCACUCUUCACUACAGCUGCUUUGAACGCUGCAUGCGAAUGCUUGAAGAUCAAAGUGGAUAGGAAGCUGUUAGCAUCAUCUGGUGCUAAAAAGGGAAUCUUUGACAGGCUGUGCACCCAGUUCCAGAAACUGGGACAGGACAUCUGCAAAGAAGCCACUCCACUGAAGAAUCUAGUUAAAAUGGCACAGAAAAGACGAACACUCAUAGAAAAUAUAGAACAAGGAGGAAGGUAAGUGUGACCAAAUAAUAACCAUACCAAAUUCCUGAUUAUGUUAAAACGGUGUUGGGGGGGAAUAUUUUGUGCUGUCUAUCAAGGCCGACGUCUCAAAAGCAGCAGAAAGAGGACUCUGAGGAGUGCGCUACACAGGAUUACAAAGAGUGGAAGCCGAAGAAUCUUGGAAAAUGCACUUAAAGCCAAUACAUAAAAGUUCAUUUGAUUGUCAGCUCAGCCAUAAAGUGGAAAUGUUUUCACAACCUCGGGCUUGUGAUCAGUGAAAAUGCUGUCUACAGUGCUGAGUAGUGAGGCUGGAGCUCUUGUUUUCUUUGCAUGUGAACUCUUAAUGAGCAGGUACACGUCUAGUAAUGAAGCACAUAUGCGCUUACUUCAGCUUUUGGAGAAAGUUACCUGAAAGGUGUUUUUAUUUGUUUUGUUUUUUAUCAUUGUUUAUUGUUUCAACCAUGCUUGUUUUAUGCUAUAAGCCUUACCCUUGUAAGCAAGCAUGAUGUGUUUGUAUUCCAUACAGUACUUUGCCUUUUCUGCCCCUCAGUGGCAGUGUAUGAGACUUACUUUAAGAGAAUUCUGCUGUGCUGGUCAAUGUGUUGGAUUUGUACAGUUAAGAUUAACAUUCUGUGGCGUUUUGGCGUUAACAAUUUAUGGUGGACGAUAAGACAGUCUUACCAGUUGGCAUUAGCAACUGUUUUUAUUUAGACAGACCACAGUAUGAGUUGGAAAUGGUUCUAAUAGUUUUUUUUUCACCAUUCAUUUUUCCAUCUGGGAUUUUAGAACUACUUCCUACGUUUUGAUAACCACACAUCGCUCAUCAAUAUUUAGCAUUGCGAAUGAGUAAAUUGCGGCGACUAUAUUGAUGAUUCCCCUCUGUGAGAAUUACACAGCUAUCAAAACGUCACGCCAAGGAAAGCCUACAUCUAACACACAAUUUAAUUAGAGUUGUCAUUCAAGUGGCUCAGCGGUCUAAAGCACUGCAUCUCAGUGCUAGAGGCGUCACUACAGACCCUGGUUUGAUUUCAGGCUGUAUCACAACUGUCCGUGAUUGGGAGUCCCAUAGGGCGGUGCAUAAUUUGCAAGGCAUCAUCCGGGUUAGGGUUUGGCCGUCAAUGGAAAUAAGAAUUUGUUAACUGACUUGCCUAGUUACAUUUUUUUUAAUUCACAAUGUGAAAAAAUGAAUGGUGGAAAAACCAUUGGAAGCAUUUGUGUUUAUGGGUGUUAAGGCAAUUCCACUGUGCCAGACUAUCGACAAUAGUAUAAGUCUGGCCAUUUGUAGCUUCACUUAUUUUAAUGAAUUAACAUUUAUAGUCAUUGAGUUAUUCUUGGUGAGUUCAAGUGGAGGUGGGGACACUGUCACAAAAUAAUGCUAUAUGGGAACACUACUGUCAGUCAGGUUGGGUAGCAUGCAAGCAAGUAGCCCAUUCAAAGCCUUCAUAGAAGGAAAGAUUGACAAGACAAGGUCAUCUGUGUGAUUUGUAAAGAUUCACUUACCAUAUUAAAUAAACCCAAAAUGAAAGCCUUGUGAA